AAAUAAAUGACAUACUUCUACAUGCCUAAAAUAAUCCGAUAUACGCAAAUCUGGAGCAAAAUUAUAUGUUUGCAGUUUGUACCACUAUGCAGUGGGACUGUAAUGCGGGUACUUUCAAUAUGGGACAAAAACAACUUGAAAAUAUGAUAACAAUUGAGUCGAUUCCCGAUGAUAACUCAAAAGUGACUAAAAUCAGUAUGGGACAGUUAUGCGGGUACCGGCAGUA